AGAGACUUUGGCUUAAUUGGUAAAGCAUGUGCCUUUUAAUCACUAUUAUAUGGGUUCAAAUCCCAUAGGUCUUA
rnacentral:tRNA from 1 species